CUGGCGACCAUAGCAAGAGUGAACCACCUGAUCCCUUCCCGAACUCAGAAGUGAAACCUCUUAGCGCUGAGACUAGGACGUUGA
rnacentral:rRNA from 1 species